UGUUCAUGCAUGCACAUUCCAGUCCACUCUCCUUGACUGCCAGUCUCCUUACAUCGAUGUUGGGCAAAUCAUUUUCGUUAUAUUAAUAAUGGUUGGAUUUUUUCCAGACAGAUCCCAUAUUUCUGGUCAAAACACAUUAACAAACUUCUAAAUAAAAACACAAAGCACAAUUAAUAUUAAACAUUUAAAAAUAAAUGUGAUCUAUACAUGCAUUUAACAAAAGUUACAAAACAAGGAACAGAAUUCUUUUUCCAGACUGCUUAUUCCAGGUCAGGGUCCUCUCUCAGCAUCUCAGGACACAAGGUGGGCACCCACCCUGGGCAUGAUGCCCUUCCAUUACAAGGCCACUCGCACCCACUCACACUUUGCUCAGACUGGGACACUGCUAGUUCACUUCACAUGCACCUCCCUGGGGUAUGGGAGGAAACCCAAAUGCCUGGAGCAAACCCAUGUAGUUGUGGGGAGAAUGUGCAUACUCCACACAGUUGCCCCAGCUGGGAAUUAGUAAUAAGGAAUCAAUGUUGAGAGAAACAUUGUUUAUCAAGGACCCCAUGUGCUGUUGUACAAGAGCACCUAACAUUACAACUAGUAAUUUCAAUGGAAGACAAAGUAAAUCAAACUAAUUGCUUGGCUUUGGGGGAAAAUAAAACUGGUUAAUGAGGGAAUGGAAAAUUUUAUGCAUAUUUUGAAAUGCAAUAAUGUUCUGUGCAACCAGAGGGACCUGCAUUUGAAUCUUGAUUCUUUUCUUUUUAGUUGAGUGAAAUUUUCCAAGUUAUAUAACUUCUUUCUUACAUAGUCUGUUCUCCUAUGUUAAUAAAAUACUCCCAAAAGUUGUUAGGAGAAUUAAAUUAGUGUGAAAUUUGUGAGAGAUAUAUGAGUACAUGGUAGACAUAGGACUUUAAUAUAUAUUUUCUUUGUUUGUUGAAGCAACAAGUGGGCACUGCCCUACUUAUUUUAUUCUUCAGGAAAUUGCUCUUUGACUAUGAGAGUCAUUUAUCCAGGUCAGAGAUCACUUUUAGUACUGAAAACGAAUGGCAGGGUGGGCUGACUUGUAAAAAUGAAUGAGUAUCUAAUAGGCAACCCAGAUAAAAUGGGCCAGAGAAAAUUCUUCUUCAUACAACAUGUAAUUAACCUGUAGAAGAUUUUCCUACACCCAGUUAAACAAAAGCUAAUUUCUGAGUGAGUUUAACAAAUGGAUAGAUUUGAAACUAAAAUUAAUUAGGAAAAAUAUUGUGCUUCAGGGAUAAGCUUAUCAGAAAAUAAUGAAUGUGCAUGAGAUUUAUGGUUACAAAUCUCUGCCUUGGGCCGUAAGUGUGUUCCGGUCAUCUGGGACCUUAUUGUGGAAUUGUAUAAACUACCAGCAAGUUGGCAGCCAGCUGACACCCAAGAAAAGUGUCUCAUUCAGAAUCAAGGGAGGCCCAUCCAGAAUCAAGAAUAAAGCCCAGUUUUUAGAAAAAAGUACCAAAAACACUGACAUAUACUUUCUUCCUCUGAAAGACUGCAUCACCACAGCUUUUUUGAAGUCUAAGGAGAAAGUUUAGAAGUUCCAGCAUCAGGACCCACUAAUUACAACCAACAAGAGAAUCCCCCAUGGACUGUGCUAUAUGGAAACCCCCACCCCCAUUAACCAUUAAAGAACUGGAGAAAGCUUCAUGGUCUGAGAUGUCAAGCUUGCAGUCCAUGGGUCUGCGGCAGCCAGCACAGACACCAUUUGUGCCCAGCGUGGUGACUGUUACCAACAGUGAAUGUGAACGCCUUUGGUCAGGUGUGCUCUGCCUUUACCACAGUCCCCUCUGCAACCUGUUUUCUUAAGUUUGUGGGUUUGAGUUUGCCACUCGUACUGUAAAACAACCUUUCUUUAAGUGAGAAGGGAAAUAAUUAGAGACUUUUCAGAAUUCCUUAAAAUAUAAGAUGACAUGUAAAAAUAAGUGGGAACCUGUAAGUCUACAGAAUAAAGAAAGAAAAUAGCAAAUCCUUUUCAAAGCAGCGUAUCAUUAAACUAUUGAACAUGAUUUACCUCCCUGGACAGCAAUUAAUGGCUGGGUGUGUUUAACAUAGCACACGUAAAACAAUAUCUAUGAACACCCUUCAAAGGAAUCACAGAAGAGCACUGGCAACAACACAAAAUGACUUUGUGACUCUUCCAACAACACGGUCUACAUAGCCCUCAGCAUCCUUGGUACAUAGCUGGCCAGUGUGGCCAUGUGUCCAUCACUUCCAGCUCUUGUUUUAAGGCAAACUCGAGAAGAAACAGUAAGCUUUUUGAAUUUUUAGUUAGAAAUAAAAAUCAAAAGAAGCAGUACAAGGUAGAUAACUGUUCUCAGAGUCAUUAACUGGCCAUGUUGCUUUAAUUUGUUCUAGGAAUGAAAAAGUGUACAAAAAGUGUACAUACAGGCAUGUGCAUGAGUGUGUGUUUGUGUGUGACUAACUCUAUCACGUCCAAGUAUUUCUGGGUUGGCGGCUCUUAGUGAUGAAGAACUGGAGCAGUGUUGAGUAUAACAGACAACCUCAGGUGUGCAGCCCCAGCGGGGGAGCUCCUGUGCUUGCUUUUUACAGCUAAUCAGGGUGAGGUAUGCUGCUGAAAUUGCAUUUCUGACGCUUGCUUUUCCACUAUCUCCCUUAAAGCAAUGUUAUUGUGACAGACCAAAGAGUGGGGUAGAAGAAAUUCUGGCUUUGAAAGAUUAGAUAGGAUUUUCCAUCCUUUCUCAGAUCUUA